AUUGCGUUUGGACCAAAAAUCGACGAUUUUCCGAAAAUCACUGUAAAAACAUGGCAUGCACAAAUUCUGAUUGUUUUAUUCGAUAAAUUGCUGAUUAUUUUGGAUUCAUUGAGUUUGGGCUGAAAAUCGACGAUUUUCCGAAUGAGAGUACUUUCUUAAGAAAUCACUGUAUAAACAUGGCUUGCACAAAUUCUGAUGGUUGAAUUUGAAGAAUUAUAGAUAACUUUGGAGUUAUUGCGAUUGACCGAAAAUCGACGAUAU